rnacentral:rRNA from 1 species
UACGGAGGGGGCUAGCGUUGUUCGGAAUUACUGGGCGUAAAGGGCUCGUAGGCGGCCCACUAAGUCAGAUGUGAAAUCCCCAGGCUCAACCUGGGAACUGCAUCUGAUACUGGUGGGCUUGAAUUCGGGAGAGGGAUGCAGAAUUCCAGGUGUAGCGGUGAAAUGCGUAGAUAUCUGGAGGAAUACCGGUGGCGAAGGCGGCAUCCUGGACCGACAUUGACGCUGAGGAGCGAAAGCUAGGGGAGCAAACGGG